rnacentral:tRNA from 1 species
AGGAUUAUGGCUUACUGGUAAAGCUAUGUGGUUCAUGAUCAUAAAGACUUGGGUUCAAUUCCCAGUGGUGCAG